GCGUUGGUGGUUUAGUGGUAAAAUCCGUCGUUGCCAUCCGAAGCGAUUCGGGAUAAUUCGACGGGCCCCGGGUUCGAUUCCCGGCCGACGCA
rnacentral:tRNA from 1 species